CUUGAGUGUGGUAGGGGCAGAGGGAAUUCCCGGUGUAGCGGUGAAAUGCGUAGAUAUCGGGAAGAACACCAGUGGCGAAGGCGCUCUGCUGGGCCAUCACUGACGCUCAUGGACGAAAGCCAGGGGAGCGAAAGGGAUUAGAUACCCCUGUAGUCCUGGCCGUAAACGAUGAACACUAGGUGUCGGGGGAAUCGACCCCCUCGGUGUCGUAGCCAACGCGUUAAGUGUUCCGCCUGGGGAGUACGCACGCAAGUGUGAAACUCAAAGGAAUUGACGGGGGCCCGCACAAGCGGUGGAGUAUGUGGUUUAAUUCGAUGCAACGCGAAGAACCUUACCAGGGUUUGACAUCCUGCGAAUCUCUUGGAAACGAGAGAGUGCCUUCGGGAACGCAGUGACAGGUGGUGCAUGGCUGUCGUCAGCUCGUGUCGUGAGAUGUUGGGUUAAGUCCCGCAACGAGCGCAACCCACGUCUUUAGUUGCCAGCAUUUAGUUGGGCACUCUAGAGAGACCGCCGGUGAUAAACCGGAGGAAGGUGUGGAUGACGUCAAGUCAUCAUGCCCCUUACAUCCUGGGCUACACACGUACUACAAUGCUACGGACAAAGGGCAGCAAGUUCGCGAGGACAAGCAAAUCCCAUAAACCGUGGCUCAGUUCAGAUCGUAGGCUGCAACUCGCCUACGUGAAGGAGGAAUCGCUAGUAAUCGCAGGUCAGCAUACUGCGGUGAAUACGUUCCCGGGCCUUGUACACACCGCCCGUCACACCAUGGAAGUUGGCCACGCCCGAAGCCGUUACUCCAACCCUUGUGGAGGAGGACGUCGAAGGUGGGGCUGAUGACUGGGGUGAAGUCGUAACAAGGUAACCGUA
rnacentral:rRNA from 1 species